rnacentral:rRNA from 1 species
AUUGAACGCUGGCGGCAUGCCUUACACAUGCAAGUCGAACGGCAGCACGGGUGCUUGCACCUGGUGGCGAGUGGCGAACGGGUGAGUAAUACAUCGGAACAUGUCCUGUAGUGGGGGAUAGCCCGGCGAAAGCCGGAUUAAUACCGCAUACGAUCUACGUAUGAAAGCGGGGGACCUUCGGGCCUCGCGCUAUAGGGUUGGCCGAUGGCUGAUUAGCUAGUUGGUGGGGUAAAGGCCUACCAAGGCGACGAUCAGUAGCUGGUCUGAGAGGACGACCAGCCACACUGGGGCUGAGACACGGCCCAGACUCCUACGGGAGGCAGCAGUGGGGAAUUUUGGCCAAUGGGCGAAAGCCUGAUCCAGCAAUGCCGCGUGUGUGAAGAAGGCCUUCGGGUUGUAAAGCACUUUUGUCCGGAAAGAAAUCCUUGGCCCUAAUACGGUCGGGGGAUGACGGUACCGGAAGAAUAAGCACCGGCUAACUACGUG